AGAAAGAAAAAAAACAGAGGGUGAAGGAGGAGAAGUAGAGAGAGAGAGAGAGAGAGCAAAGCAAGAUCGAAGAAGAAGAGGACUAAGCUUCGGGGAGUAGCUUCGGCUCUGUUCUUCCUUCUUUACGAACUAAACAACAGAGAGAAAACUGAAACAUGGGAGCUCAAGUUCGAGAAGAGGAAGUUCAUGACCGAGAGUAAAAUUCAGUUUUCCGACUUGAGUUGACGAGACCGAAAGCAAGCAUCAUGAAGGCUCGAUUCAGUGGACUAUAUGUUGGGUGUUCUCUGUGGGAUUAUUAGACUCAGCGGAAUAAGAUUGGGGGGUGUGGUUGACCGCUGGACCCGGCAGAAUAGAAAGGGGCAGGAACGGCCGCUGAACCCGGUGGAAUAGAAAAAAUGGGCACGAACGGCCGCUGGACUCGGCGGAAUAGAAAAAAAAAGGGCACGAACGGCCGCUGGACUCGACGGAAUAGAAAAAGGGGCCCCUUUAUGAGAUAUGAUGAUGAAGAUAAGCUAGGAGAUACACUAGCCGUACGGGAGAACUUUUGGAUCACGGGGAUCAGCGCGGAGAAUAUUUUUGGCAAAUAGACCCACUCAUAGUCUAAGUAGUAAGUUCUUGUAGAAUUCUGUAGUUAUGUUAUGGCUUGAAAUUUUUUUUGAGUUGGUUUAGUGAGAUGGUUGAGAGAAAGUACUAUCUUGAGAGAUAUAUUAGAACCUGCUGGAUUGGUUAAAUGUUUUGGGAGUUAUG